GACGAACGCUGGCGGCGUGCUUAACACAUGCAAGUCGAACGGAAAGGCCCUGCUUUUGUGGGGUGCUCGAGUGGCGAACGGGUGAGUAACACGUGAGUAACCUGCCCUUGACUUUGGGAUAACUUCAGGAAACUGGGGCUAAUACCGGAUAGGAGCUCCUGCUGCAUGGUGGGGGUUGGAAAGUUUCGGCGGUUGGGGAUGGACUCGCGGCUUAUCAGCUUGUUGGUGGGGUAGUGGCUUACCAAGGCUUUGACGGGUAGCCGGCCUGAGAGGGUGACCGGCCACAUGAGGACUGAGAUACGGACCAGUCUCCUACGGGAGGCAGCGGUGGGGAAUAUUGCACAAUGGGCGGAAGCCUGAUGCAGCAGCGCCGCGUGCGGGAUGACGGCCUUCGGGUUGUAAACCGCUUUCGCCGUUGACGAAGCGUGAGUGACGGUAAUGGGUAAGAAAGCACCGGCUAACUACGUG
rnacentral:rRNA from 1 species